rnacentral:lncRNA from 1 species
AUCGUUGUCGGUGAGGAUGAGCCUGAAGAGGUUCUGAUGAGGCGGUUCCGGAGGGAAGUGUCUAGAGCUGGGAUUAUUCCAGAAUGCAGGAGAAGGAAACACUUUGAGAACAAACAGGAGGCCAAGAAACGGAAGACUCGUGAAGCUGCCAAGAGGAACCGACGCAGGUAGACACAAAUCGAAUUAAAUCGAUUGGAUUUGUAAUAUUGAAAUUGGGAAAGAGUCAGUGUGAGUCAAAAAGACAAUAGAAUCAUGUUACAUAAAAUGUUUUUUUUUUACAGGCCUAGGUUCUCCUCUUCGUCAUUCUCUAAUAAUAAAGAUGCUCCUCCCAAAAAAGCCCGCGAAGAAGAUUCCGACAACUGGGAGAUGCCGGAGGGCGAUCUUCCAUUCUUCUGAUGCGGCAAGGAAAGGAAAGUUCCGAC